rnacentral:lncRNA from 1 species
UGUUUCACUAGAGACUGACUGUGACUCCAAAAGACAAAGACAGAAAAUAUAGAGACAACAAACACUAAAUCGAAAUGGAUCCAUAAACAAGAUCAAACUCGAUAUCAAUCUUAUUCUUCUCCACAUGAUUGUGCUACUACCAAAUUAUCCUGUGGAAAACUGCUCUAUCUUUCAUCAACCUUACUGGACCCUGCAUCACAAGAACAGAUUAAACCAACAUUAACCACAAAAAAGCGUACUAGCU